AACGAACGCUGGCGGCAGGCUUAACACAUGCAAGUCGAGCGCCCCGCAAGGGGAGCGGCAGACGGGUGGGUAACGCGUGGGAAUCUACCGUACCCUACGGAAUAGCUCUGGGAAACUGGAAUUAAUACCGUAUACGCCCUACGGGGGAAAGAUUUAUCGGGGUAUGAUGAGCCCGCGUUGGAUUAGCUAGUUGGUGGGGUAAAGGCCUACCAAGGCGACGAUCCAUAGCUGGUCUGAGAGGAUGAUCAGCCACAUUGGGACUGAGACACGGCCCAAACUCCUACGGGAGGCAGCAGUGGGGAAUAUUGGACAAUGGGCGCAAGCCUGAUCCAGCCAUGCCGCGUGAGUGAUGAAGGUCUUAGGAUUGUAAAGCUCUUUCACCGAUGAAGAUAAUGACGGUAGUCGGAGAAGAAGCCCCGGCUAACUUCGUGCCAGCAGCCGCGGUAACAC
rnacentral:rRNA from 1 species